GGUCAUAUUGCGAUUGCUGACCCGCAGCCUCUUUCUUUCCCUCUUACAGAUGCAUUCAGGUGUAGAUUCUCAAUCUUGCAAAUUAAAGAUUUUGGUUGACACGUACAUAUUGGAAUUUCCUUGCUAUGCCGUGAACCUAUGUAGCUUUACUAGCUUUCUGGGUACUACCUGUAGUUGGCGGCAUUUUUCCUAAAUUGUAUUUAGUAAAGAUUACUUUAUCCAUACAUUGUUGGCAUAAAAUUGAUGCACAGUCUUGUGUUAGACUUUCUGCAAUAGAAAACACUGCCCCAGAUAAAAAAUUCUUGUGGAGUUAGAGCAAACCCAUACAUCAGAGUCUUAGGUAUUUUAUUUUCUGGCCAAGUUAUGCUUAAUCUGAGCUAUUUCUUACUCAGUUUGAUCUAGGUUUCUAUCAACUAUUAUCUUUCUUUUGAAUUUCUCUUUGCGCGGAUUUGCUUUCUGAGUUAAGUUGAGGUGAAUGCAGCUGCUGUUCAUACUUUAAACACAUCUCAAUUGCAGGAGUGCGACACCACCAUCCUGUGCCACAAACCAUACCAAGAAUGAUGAGUUAUGGCUAGAGUUCAUUUGAUCCAUCUGAUAAAAAUACCUAUUUUAAGGAAUAAGCGUGAAAAGUAAUCAACCGCUCUUUCCGCAGUGGAAUUCGGCUUCAUGGGAAUAUGGUACCCUACGACGCAGGAAGACUACUGAAGAUCAUUUCUAAAUCUAAUCAAGUCAAAGCUUCUCUGUUGUCUGUACUGCAGCCAUGAUGAUCUGAAGUUUAGGACCACAUUGUAGUCAAGAAAAAGGAAUGAUCUUGAUAAUGGCAGGUGUAGCAAUGAAAGGCACAUAUAUUCUACCACAAGCAUCCUAGCUUUCUCAUCUUAUUAGUGACUCACUUUCGAAACAUAUGUAUUGGUAGUUUUUAUCUCUAUGCUUUGCCUUCCACAUACUGGAUUGCAAUGUGUUUGUCUUGAUCCAAUCCUUCGUGUGCCCAUGGGAUGUCCGGCAGGGACUGAUUUGGCUGUUCAAGAGGCCGAACACAUAUAAAUACACAUCCACUCCCUCGACCGAAGCCCCAACCCAAUUGCGUCGUUUCAUCCGUGCUCGACAUUGGUGUCUUGCCGUUCUGCCAAAGUCAUGGAAAUCUCACUGUUCUGCCAACCUGGCCGGAAUUUCUCCGUACUGCCGACUUCAUCGGAAUUACAUCUACCCGUGUAGCCAAGGUACAUCAUUCAAACUACUCGAGUAAUACUAAUUCGGACUUGUUUUGAUCAAGCGGUUGAACUGAACCAUGCUACUGCACAAUAGCCAAAAGGAGAGUCAGUUUGUUUCUCUGACCCCUGUGAUUUGAAGCAGCUAAUCUGAACUAUGCUAUUACACAAUAGCCCAAAGUUUGUCUGAUAGAUAUGAGUAUCAUCAUAUAAUUUUGUUUCUAGAACGUGUAAUAGGUAACCAACAAUGUUGUUUUCAGUUUACAAGAAUGCUAAUGUUGUUUGAAUGCAUAUAUAAUUACUGGAAUUAGUUUGAAUGCAUAUACAGUACCUUGAUGUUGAAUUUACAAGGUCCUGAUGUUGGAUUUAUUGUCUUAUAGAUUUUGUAAUUUACAGUUACUCCACAAAGUUGGUGACUGUUGUUUGUACAGUGAGCUGAUAUAGAAUGCUUCAUCACACAAACUAAUCUGACUGCAUAUUUACAAUAUGGUGAUGGUGGAUUGACACUGUCCUAUAGAUGUUGAAUUUACAGUAUGGUGAUGGUGGAUUUACACUGCCCUAUAGAUUUUGUAAUUUAUUCUAGAAGCUGUGUAGCUCCAUAUAGUGUGUCAUUGUUGUUCGUACAGUGAGUUCAUAUAGAAUACUUGAUCACAUGGAUUUGUCUCAAUGUAUAUUAUUAGUUUCCUGGUGUUUAAUUUAUAAUACAUUGAUGAUGGAUUUAUGGUCCUAUGGCUUCUGUAAAUUUUAGUACUCCCUUCGUCCGAAAAUACUUGUCGAAGAAAUGGAUAAAAAUGGAUGCAUCUAAAAACUAAAAUACGUCUAGAUACAUCCAUUCCUCCGACAAGUAUUUUCGGACGGAGGGAGUAGUUCUUUUGAGACUGUUUUAUUUUACAGUGAGAUGAUAGUGAAUUUUCCAGUGGCCACCGCUUUCUGAGAUCGCCAUCACUACCUAGCACUCUGAUUUUGCUAUAACUGUUGUCCUCCUAAUAGGUACUAUACUUUCUCUUUCUACUUCUUUUGUUUUGCCAUUUUUGUUACAGUUCAUUAUGAUUCUUUUAUAUUCAUUGUACCUCUUCUUGUUUGCCGUUCUCGAUGCUGCAACAUUGGUAACUGAGAAUCCGGCGACAAUCAAAUAGAAGUCGAAGAAUUCUUGUCCUUCUCUUGUGUUGAACUCCAUUUCCAGGCUGCCGUAACUGAUGGUUAUCCGUGCUUUUCUCAGCUUCAUUAUUACUCUCCUUAUGUUCCACACAUGUGGCACAUUGCCUGAAGUGUAUGAAUUUCCCCAUAACAUGAUGGAUCCUUCAUCUUCAGCUAACUUGCAGCAAUGCAGCAAGUGUAUGCUUUUUAUUUAUUUAUUUUCUUCAGGAAUUUUUUUUGCUGAUGCAAUCUGAAUAUGUGUUUACAUAUCAGUUUCUCUACUUGAUGUUUCUUAAUUACCUUGUCCAAGCUUAGAUUGUCAAGAAGUCAUACUUUCCAGGGAUUUGAAGAAGCUGGAUCAAUACAACUUUAUGUAGAGAAACUUUAUGUAGCUUGCUGCCUUGCUGUACAUUGUCUGAAGCUUUAUGUAGCUUGCUGUCUUGUUGUACAUUGCUGUAACUUACAGUUACAGGGUUGUACAAUCCUGUAUCAUCAAACUGGUUUUCUGUAGCAUAUCUUGUUUGUCC